rfam:Dipodomys ordii contig_9106, whole genome shotgun sequence.
GGUGGCUCAGUGGUAGAGUGCUUGCUUUGCAUGCAAGAGGCCCUGGGUUUGAUUCCUCAGCACCA